GCUGCCAGGUGAUGCUAGAUAAUAUGGAAGGACAGCAGAUGUAAGGCAGAUAAAAGGCUGUUUCGGGACAGGAGGCAAAACAGGGGUAUUGUGGCAGCAGUGGCAAUGGGGAAGCAUAGAUCUGAUAGAUCUGAAGAAUGUU